UCUGGCAGUGAAGUCUCCUAGAUGUCCCACUCGACCAAUCUUCUUUUAAGGAAGCCUUUUUUUCUUUUUCUUUUUAACACUCCCACUCCAAACCUUAGAUUCAGGACUGUCCACAGUAUUGCUCACUUCCUAGCUUCACAUCUAUAUAUCUUUGAGAGUGGGGUAUCAGUGGCCUCUAGCUUUGGGGGGGAUGCAAACUCCGUUUACAUGCAAGCUAUCUGCCUCCAUGGAUUCGGCUUCCUAGUGAUGUCAAGUCUACUGAUACUGUGUGGUGAGGCCAGUUUAGCUUUCUUGGGUCUGUGGUUGGAAUGUGAGCUUCUAUUGGGGCAGUUCAAGCAUCUUUUCUCAACAGCUGCUUCUCAGUUCUGGGGCUGUCAUCUCCUCAGGAGUAGCUCUGCCUUUUUGUCAAGGGUUUUUCUCUCUGUCUUCCCUUUCUCCCCUCAUCACAUGGAUUGUUUUCUCUCUGCAUUUCCAUUCUCAUCUACCCAGCCCGUGUGUAUGUGAUCUCCCAUAAUUGACAUUCACUGGAUUGAAGGAAGCGUUCCAGAGCUAGAGUGGUCCAUCUCACCCCCUGUCACCUUGUAGGCGUGCAAGCAUUCCUCGCCUUUGUUGUGUUGUCUUUGUGGGGUAAAAAUGUUCCUGCCUUUUUUGUUGUUGGCAUCAUCCCUUAUCUAGCAUUUGAGGUGGCCACACCCCCCUGUGUACCCACUUUGAUGUUAGGUACUCUUGGGUGAGAGUGGCCUUGGCUAGUGAGACUCCUUUGGUUUUUCUAUGGGUCUAAAGUGAAGGUUCCCUGUGCAAUGUCUGAGGCUUGGGAGAAAGAUCACUGUUGGCAUUUUGCUUGGGACUAAAGAUACUUAGGGAUGACUUCCGAAGGUGUGGGUUUCCCUUUCCCUACCUUUGGUGUUGGACCUCUCUACCUCUGACCAGGAUCUACAUUAUUCACCUCACAGAACCCCCAUGUGGUGGUGCCAGCAUCCUCCACUGGGUUCAAGUUCACCUCCCGUGCUGCUUGCCACCAUCCUGGCUUUAGCGCCUUAUAUUGUCUAUGCUCCAGGAUGCUGGUGGGGCCACUCUGCAGUACCAGCUGCAGGAUUAAAGUUAUGCUCAUCGAGUCUCUGGAUGACAGUCGUGGCACCUGUGGUGGAAAGGUCUGUAUAUUAUUUUGUUAUUGGCUCCUGCUGUGAGUCCAGAUUUGAGGAUUUGCCACAGCCUUAGAGGAUCCUAAUGAUUGAACCAUUACCUGCGUCAAGAGGCUAGCUUCCUCCAUGCUGUUUGAGACCCUCUCAUCAUCUGUGUAUAUGUUCUCAGGGUAGGUGCUUGCCUACCUCCAAAGGGCCCUGUGGUGAUGGCCUUCUCUUAGAGAAGGUCUUGGAAAAUGGGAUGGGCAGUCUUCUGUGGUGGCACCUCUACUUUGAGGUUCUAGAGCCACUCUGUCUGCUGAGCUUCUGAGCUGUGUACACCUUCUUGGUGUGGAGUGUUUUCUUGUGGAGAGAUGAUAUUGCCUUCACUCUAGCUGAGGCUCCAACCUCUAGAGCACAAAAUUUGGGUCUAUGGACCUUGUCCUACUCUGUGGAGCAGCCUUUUGCCAGUCAGAUAUGGCCUUCUCUAAUCACAAUUUUCCCCGCUUAGAUGGCUAAAGUAUGACACCUGCUUUUUUUUUUUUAACCUUUUAAAAUUAUUCUUAGUCUGUGUAUUUUGCCUGCAUGCAUGUAAGUACACUGCCUGUGUGCUGUACCUGAGAAGGCUAUUGGUUCCUCUGGAACUAGGGUUAUAGCUAGAGAGUUGUGAUCUGUGAUAUGAGUGCUGGGAGCUGAACCUGUAUUGUCCACAGAGCAACAAGUGCUCUUUAACUUCUGAGUCAUCUUCUGCCCCUAAUUUAUUUAUUUACAUGUAUGUAUGUAUGUAUAUAUGUAUUUGAAGCUUUCUUUGUUUUGUUUUUGUAUGUGUGUGCAUGCCCUGGCAGAAACGUGGAGAUCAGAGAAAAACUUUAAGAAGUUGAUUCUUUGCUUUCACUGUUUGGCCCCAGGGUUUGAAUCCAGUUUUCAUAGGAAGCACCUUUACCUACUCAGCCAUCUCACUGGCCCUUAAUUAUUUUUUGUUACAUUUAUUUGUUUUUUUUUUUUGAGACUGUUUAGUCCUGGAUGGCCUGGAACUCAGAGAUUUGCCUGCCUCUGCCUCCUGAGUACUGGGAUUGAAGGUAUACCCCACCAACCCUGACCCAACAUUUUUCUAUUUACUUAUAUAUCAGUUUAUGUGGUAAGUGUUUUGAACACCCACAUGUGCCUGCUCUUGCACAGGUACACGUGCAGGCAGCAUACAUGUUUGAAGAUAGAGGAUAUCUUGGUUCUCUCUACCAUGUGAAUCCUGGAGAUUGAACUUAGAAUGUUAGGCUUGGUAGCAAGAAACUAUUCUGGGCCUCCUCACUGGCCCUUUGUUGUCCCUGUUCUUUGGCACCUUGCUUCUGGCCCCUUUAGGAUCUCUGUCAUUUUUUUUUUUUUCCUGCCAUAGUAUUAUCCUCUCAUUGCAGGAUAGUACCACAUUUUCCCCUAUGUGCAGUCGCAACUAUUUUACUCUGGAAUUACAGUAGAGCCUCGUUUCCUUAAGGCUGGAAUGCCUUGUCCAGGUUCCAGUGGCUUCCCAGAACUUUCCUGCAGGCUCUUGGGACAGAGUGGGUGCUGUAAGCUCUUGUUUAACAUUCCUUCCUUCCCUGGUGUAAAACAAAAAUGCUGUUGAUGGAUAUGAGAACCAAGACUCACCCCUGGUCAAGAUUUCAAACACCCCCUGCUGGUGUCCAGGCACAGUCUCUGGACCAGAGGUGCCUGUUCCACUUGAGUCUCCUGUGGGGCUCUUUGCUGAGUCCUUUUGCUGCUUCAUCAUCUUGAAUAUUCCUGGUGUGUAAUGUGUUAGCUAAUCCUUAGGUGAAAGUGUUGCUCUCUCUUUUUCUCUUUCUCUCUCUCUCUCUCUCUCUCUUUUGAUAGGUCCUUUGCUGAAGAGAUUUAAGUUCCAGAGUCUGAGGUGUCACCCAUACCUACCUCCCCACAGAGUGGGACCCUACAGAGUUAAUUUUAAAAUUCCUUGCAGAGGAAGUACCAGCCCCAUCCACUUGAGGCCUCUUUUUCUAAAUCUCCUUAAUGCAGUGUCCCAUGUGGUGGCUGCUAGCCAUCUGUGAUUAAUACAAGUGAAAAAACUGAGCCAAGCAUGACGGUACACUCCUGUAACCUCAGCAUUUGGGAGGACAAGCGUCCGUUUUUAAGAGAGUAUGAAGAGAGUGCGUCUGUAGGGCAGGGAAGAUGGCGGACAAGCGCAAACUCCAAGGUGAGAUUGAUCGCUGCCUCAAGAAGGUGUCCGAAGGCGUGGAGCAGUUUGAAGAUAUUUGGCAAAAGAUUUCCCAGCCAAGGAAGAAAGAGACUGGACCUUUACUGCUAUGGCGAGUUCUGGGCAGCCACUCUCACAUUGACUGCUGAAUUCUUCAUCCCUCAGCUCCACAAUGCAGCCAACGCGAACCAGAAAGAAAAGUAUGAGGCUGACCUAAAGAAGGAGAUUAAGAAGCUACAACGGCUGAGGGACCAGAUCAAGACAUGGGUAGCAUCCAAUGAGAUCAAGGACAAAAGGCAGCUUAUCGAAAACCGCAAGCUCAUAGAAACGCAAAUGGAACGGUUCAAAGUUGUGGAACGAGAGACCAAAACCAAAGCUUAUAGCAAGGAGGGCCUGGGUCUGGCUCAGAAGGUGGACCCUGCCCAGAAGGAGAAGGAAGAGGUUGGCCAGUGGCUCACGAACACCAUUGACACCCUAAAUAUGCAGGUGGACCAGUUUGAGAGUGAGGUGGAGUCACUGUCAGUACAGACACGCAAGAAGAAGGGCGACAAGGAUCAGAAGCAGGACCGGAUUGAGGGCUUGAAGCGGCACAUUGAGAAGCACCGCUACCAUGUGCGCAUGCUGGAGACCAUCCUACGCAUGCUGGACAAUGACUCCAUCCUGGUUGACGCCAUCCGCAAGAUCAAGGAUGAUGUGGAGUACUACGUUGACUCAUCCCAGGACCCCGACUUCGAAGAGAACGAAUUCCUCUAUGACGACCUGGACCUCGAGGACAUUCCACAGGCGCUGGUCGCCACCUCCCCCCCCAGCCACAGCCACAUGGAGGACGAGAUCUUCAACCAGUCCAGCAGCACGCCCACCUCAACAACCUCCAGCUCUCCCAUCCCUCCUAGCCCAGCAAACUGCACUACGGAAAACUCUGAAGACGAUAAGAAGAGAGGCCGCUCCACAGAUAGUGAAAUCAGCCAGUCUCCAGCCAAAAACGGCUCCAAGCCUGUCCACAGCAACCAGCACCCCCAGUCCCCAGCUGUGCCGCCCACCUACCCCUCUGGCCCCCCACCUGCCACUUCUGCCUUGAGCUCCACCCCUGGCAACAAUGGGGCCUCUACCCCAGCUGCACCUCCAAGUGCCCUGGGCCCCAAGGCCAGUCCAGCUCCCAGCCACAACUCGGGUACUCCUGCUCCCUAUGCCCAGGCUGUGGCCCUACCCAAUGCCAGCGGGCCCGGCACUGCCCAGCCCCGGCCCCCCAGUGCCCAGCCGAGCGGGGGAAGUGGUGGUGGCAGCGGAGGGAGCAGCAGCAAUAGUAACAGUGGCACAGGCGGAGGGGCUGGCAAGCAAAACGGUGCCACCAGCUAUAGUUCUGUUGUGGCAGACAGCCCAGCAGAGGUGGCCCUGAGUAGCAGUGGGGGCAGCAACGCCAACAGCCAAGCCCUGGGACCCACUUCAGGCCCUCACAACCCAGCUCCCAGCACCUCAAAGGAAUCCAGUACAGCAGCCCCAUCGGGGCCUGGGAGUGUGGCUUCAGGCUCAGGGAACAACUCAGGGGGACCCAGCCUUUUGGUGCCUCUACCUGUGAAUCCUCCCAGUUCUCCAACGCCCAGCUUCAGUGAGGCCAAGGCAGCUGGAACCCUGCUCAAUGGUCCUCCACAGUUCAGCACCACCCCAGAGAUCAAGGCCCCUGAACCUCUAAGCUCUCUGAAAUCCAUGGCAGAACGGGCAGCUAUCAGCUCUGGUAUUGAGGACCCUGUGCCAACGUUACACCUAACAGAGCGAGACAUCAUCCUGAGCAGCACAUCAGCACCACCCACCUCAGCCCAGCCACCUCUGCAGCUGUCAGAGGUGAACAUACCAUUGUCACUGGGUGUGUGUCCACUGGGGCCAGUGUCUCUCACCAAGGAGCAGCUAUACCAACAGGCCAUGGAAGAGGCCGCCUGGCACCACAUGCCCCACCCCUCUGACUCUGAGCGAAUUCGGCAGUACCUCCCCCGGAACCCUUGCCCGACACCCCCCUACCACCACCAGAUGCCACCCCCACACUCGGACACUGUGGAGUUCUACCAGCGCCUGUCAACUGAGACGCUCUUCUUCAUCUUCUACUAUCUGGAGGUACAGCAGGGCCCCUGGGGCAGCCUCAGGCCCCCCAGCUCCGCCGCCACCGCUGCCAUCCCCCCUCAGGCUGGAGGGGCGAGGGAACCAAGGCACAGUAUUUGGCAGCCAAGGCCCUAAAGAAGCAGUCCUGGCGAUUCCACACUAAGUACAUGAUGUGGUUUCAGAGGCAUGAGGAGCCCAAGACCAUCACAGAUGAGUUUGAGCAGGGCACCUACAUCUACUUUGACUACGAGAAGUGGGGCCAGCGGAAGAAGGAAGGCUUCACCUUUGAGUACCGCUACCUGGAGGACCGGGACCUCCAGUGACACCAGCCCCCUCUAUCUGACCCCUCCCCCGCAUGCUGAUCCCCCUGCCCAGGUGAGGGCCCUGCCCUGGAAGACUGGGGGAGGCCCAAGGCCAUGGGUACCCUCCCCCCCCAGGAAGCAGGGAAGGGGCAGGGAGGUUUUCCUCUCUGCCCUACCCUGGGGCCCUGGGGGCGAGAGCUGCCCCCUCCUCCCCUCCCCAGUGAGGGACAUUUUUUGGUAAACCUAUUUUCAUUUUGGAAAAUAUUUAUGAAUAAAUAGUUUUAUAUGACGGCUGGCA